UUUUAAGCAAAGCACAUCCCAUUUAACUUGAAGACAAAUUGUCAGGGACAAAAGUUAUUUACUGUAUCACUGCUUAAAUUUAUGUUAGGAAAGAAAAAACAUCAUUUUAUCCAUCUACACAAUCUUUAAAAGACUGAGAGAAUCAUGAAUGCUUGCCGUAUGUAGAAGAUCAGCCAUGUUUAGCUUGAUAUUGAAGAAAGCAGACAGGAUUAAGUCUACUUUAUUCUCUCAUGACUGGUUUUGGCCUGUGGCCGUGGCGAAAUAUAUUCUAUUGAUUAGUGAGUUAUUUGGGGAACACUUGUCGACAAUGUUUAAUGAUUUUCCACCACCUCAGCUUGGGUUUUAUAGCAAAGUGUUUUAAGUGUUCAUUAAAUGGUUUAGUAGAUGGAAAAACGGGUCACACUGGUUAAUACAGGUUUUAGAAGUCGGGGGUCAAACGAUAUUGUGACGUGUGACUAUGAGCUGAACGUUGAUCAUAAAAAAAUGUUCGAGUACUUAAACCAGAAAAGAGAGGCUCUUGAGAAGAAGAUUAUGUGCCGUGAACAGGCUGAAUGUGGCUCCUCUUAGGCAUCAGUUCAUGAGGUGGGUUCUCUGUUGUGAAUAGAAUCCAAUUUUCAUCAAGUUUUCAACAAUGCACUUGCAUUUGAGAGUUCACCUCUCGUCCUUUAUUCCGUUCUCCUUUUUUUUUUUUUUUUUGCUCACACUUUUUUUUUCUUUUUUUUUUUCUCUUUUCUGUUGAUAAGGAAAUGGGAGGAUUUUAUUGUGUCAUUUUAUUUAGAAUUCAGUAGGCAAUUUCAAGUUGUAUUUAUUAUUACUUUUAUUCUCUUCCUUUCAUGUUUAAUCUUGGGCUGUUUCAGUGCUUUUGGCAACAUCACAUUUAUUUAAAGAAAAAAAGUCAUAUUACAGCGUAAUACCUCACAAAUCCUGCAAACCUGUACACAGAUAAUAGAUUAUGAAAACAAGAUAUACCUCAUUUAUUUCAUUUCUAUUAUUUUUAUUGUGAAGCCACUUGAAAAUUGAUGGGGUUUUUUCAACAAAUCACUGGAUUCUUUUUUUCUAUUUUGUAUUGUUUUACCAAAGAAGGGAAAUAUAUAAUGAACACACAUCUACCUCAUUUGUUAUAGACUGUGCCAACAACAUAUUCACAGCAGCCAGUUUUUAAUCAUAGCCUUUCUGGUCCAAAUUCGCUUUUGCCUGCGUGGAUUGUGCUGCAAAACCAGAGGCUGGACCACACUGAGCUCAACACAGCGUCAUUUGCUUUGCUUGUUCGUUUAUGUCAGUGGCAUUUUUUAUGCACGGAGGGAAAUAAAAAUACCAGAAGGAUUCUAUUUUAUGUAUACAACUGCUCAAAUCAAUUCAACAUUGAUUUGAUCGAGGUCUUCUUUAUAGUAUGAAUAGAUUUAAGCUGCAACCUUUAGCAUUUAAUUAAGUGUUUUAGCUCACGGUUUGCAGCAGUUCCAUUGAUGCCAGUGUGUAUGUCAUCAUUUCUGUUCACAACAUAAUGUGGCUUUCAAAAAAUAUAUAACCUAAUCUAAAUCAAAACUAACGAAAAACUAAAAAAAAUCCAUUAUUUUCUUUCACACUCUCUUUAUUUGAAUGUGGAGACAUGCUCAGAACAUGACUUAUUUUUUACAAAUACCAAAGAUGUGACAAUGUUGUUGGGUUGACAAUUUCCAACCAAUACUGUCAUUCCUAACUUUUAAUCUCAAACAGCAGAGAAAUGGUUUCAUUUGAUCCUGCUGCUGCAAAACUUGAUUUUAUCCACUUGGAUCAAAAUGUUCUAAAAAAAAAAGCCAAGCUGUAUAUUCAAUUAGUCUCAGUGCACAAAUGGCAAUCUAAGAAUGUAAUAGCAGUUUCCAGACUUUUAGCACAACUAACGAUUAAUGAAAACACCUGACCAUCAUUUUGUUGUUGUAUAGGUGCAAGGAUUAAUGGAAAUAUAUAGUCUAUAUUUAUGUGGAAUUACAGAGGGCACAAUCAAUGCACAAUUGUCUGAUUCCUGUUGUUCGAUGUAAUUUACCUCUUGAUCAGCGUAUGAAGAGACUGCUCUUAUUUCUAGAGCAAAUCCUGGACGAACUCUGGAGUGCUUGCUGACUGUGAAGCAAAAACAUGAAUCAGAGUGAUUCCAUAACCAAAGCUUUUACGAAACCACGCUCACAGGCUUACUGAUGACGAACAUUUGUUCAUAAAAAGACUAUCAUUUUAAUAAAGGUUAAGAAAAAAUUAAUCACUCAUGUGCUUAAAGAAUAACAUGUUGUUUACCUUGUUUAGCUAUGUCAACGAUGCUAUGCUGGUAGAUUUUAGAUCCUAUUAUACGCUGUGUAUGAAGCUUAUUUUCCUUUUAUUCACUUUGGAUAAAUCCAGUGCAUUAUGGGAAAGCUGGAUUGUGGUGCUCAGGGGUUAAAAAAAGAAGAAAAAAAACUGGUGAAAGAUUUUUUUGUUUUGUUUGUUUGUUUUGCCAUUGACUUGUAGCAUAAUUAGAAAUAAAGUACUGCUUUCCACUUGAA